rnacentral:rRNA from 1 species
AUUGAACGCUGGCGGCAGGCCUAACACAUGCAAGUCGAACGAGUGGCGGACGGGUGAGUAAUGUCUGGGAAACUGACUGAUGGAGGGGGAUAACUACUGGAAACGGUAGCUAAUACCGCAUACCAUCAGAUUUUCCCAGAUGGGAUGAGCUUGUUGGUGGGGUAACGGCUCACCAAGGCGACGAUCCCUAGCUGGCCUGAGAGGAUGACCAUCCACACUGGAACUGAGCACCGGUCCAGACUCCUACGGGAGGAAGCAGUGGGGAAUAUUGCACAAUGGGCGAAAUCCUGAUGCAGCCAUGCCGCGUGUAUGAAGAAGGCCUGCGGGUUGUAAAGUACUUUCAGCGGGGAGGCGUUACCCGCAGAAGAAGCACCGGCUAACUCCGUGCCAGCAGCCGCGGUAAUUC